rnacentral:tRNA from 1 species
CCCUGGGGUUGGUGCAGGUAUUCAGACACCGCGUUUUCCCACACCGGCAGAUCGCCGACCACACCCGUGCCGUGCCGGUCUUCGGGGA